rnacentral:rRNA from 1 species
AUUGAACGCUGGCGGCAGGCCUAACACAUGCCAGUCGAGCGGAUGAAGGGAGCUUGCUCCUGGAUUCAGCGGCGGACGGGUGAGUAAUGCCUAGGAAUCUGCCUGGUAGUGGGGGAUAACGUCCGGAAACGGGCGCUAAUACCGCAUACGUCCUGAGGGAGAAAGUGGGGGAUCUUCGGACCUCACGCUAUCAGAUGAGCCUAGGUCGGAUUAGCUAGUUGGUGGGGUAAAGGCCUACCAAGGCGACGAUCCGUAACUGGUCUGAGAGGAUGAUCAGUCACACUGGAACUGAGACACGGUCCAGACUCCUACGGGAGGCAUCAGUGGGGAAUAUUGGACAAUGGGCGAAAGCCUGAUCCAGCCAUGCCGCGUGUGUGAAGAAGGUCUUCGGAUUGUAAAGCACUUUAAGUUGGGAGGAAGGGCAGUAAGUUAAUACCUUGCUGUUUUGACGUUACCAACAGAAUAAGCACCGGCUAACUUCGUG